GGGUUGUGAGGUUAAGCGACUAAGCGUACACGGUGGAUGCCCUGGCAGUCAGAGGCGAUGAAGGACGUGCUAAUCUGCGAUAAGCGUCGGUAAGGUGAUAUGAACCGUUAUAACCGGCGAUUUCCGAAUGGGGAAACCCAGUGUGAUUCGACACACUAUCAUUAACUGAAUCCAUAGGUUAAUGAGGCGAACCGGGGGAACUGAAACAUCUAAGUACCCCGAGGAAAAGAAAUCAACCGAGAUUCCCCCAGUAGCGGCGAGCGAACGGGGAGCAGCCCAGAGCCUGAAUCAGUGUGUGUGUUAGUGGAAGCGUCUGGAAAGGCGCGCGAUACAGGGUGACAGCCCCGUACACAAAAAUGCACAUGCUGUGAGCUCGAUGAGUAGGGCGGGACACGUGGUAUCCUGUCUGAAUAUGGGGGACCAUCCUCCAAGGCUAAAUACUCCUGACUGACCGAUAGUGAACCAGUACCGUGAGGGAAAGGCGAAAAGAACCCCGGCGAGGGGAGUGAAAAAGAACCUGAAACCGUGUACGUACAAGCAGUGGGAGCACGCUUAGGCGUGUGACUGCGUACCUUUUGUAUAAUGGGUCAGCGACUUAUAUUCUGUAGCAAGGUUAACCGAAUAGGGGAGCCGAAGGGAAACCGAGUCUUAACUGGGCGUUAAGUUGCAGGGUAUAGACCCGAAACCCGGUGAUCUAGCCAUGGGCAGGUUGAAGGUUGGGUAACACUAACUGGAGGACCGAACCGACUAAUGUUGAAAAAUUAGCGGAUGACUUGUGGCUGGGGGUGAAAGGCCAAUCAAACCGGGAGAUAGCUGGUUCUCCCCGAAAGCUAUUUAGGUAGCGCCUCGUGAAUUCAUCUCCGGGGGUAGAGCACUGUUUCGGCAAGGGGGUCAUCCCGACUUACCAACCCGAUGCAAACUGCGAAUACCGGAGAAUGUUAUCACGGGAGACACACGGCGGGUGCUAACGUCCGUCGUGAAGAGGGAAACAACCCAGACCGCCAGCUAAGGUCCCAAAGUCAUGGUUAAGUGGGAAACGAUGUGGGAAGGCCCAGACAGCCAGGAUGUUGGCUUAGAAGCAGCCAUCAUUUAAAGAAAGCGUAAUAGCUCACUGGUCGAGUCGGCCUGCGCGGAAGAUGUAACGGGGCUAAACCAUGCACCGAAGCUGCGGCAGCGACGCUGAUGCGUUGUUGGGUAGGGGAGCGUUCUGUAAGCCUGCGAAGGUGUGCUGUGAGGCAUGCUGGAGGUAUCAGAAGUGCGAAUGCUGACAUAAGUAACGAUAAAGCGGGUGAAAAGCCCGCUCGCCGGAAGACCAAGGGUUCCUGUCCAACGUUAAUCGGGGCAGGGUGAGUCGACCCCUAAGGCGAGGCCGAAAGGCGUAGUCGAUGGGAAACAGGUUAAUAUUCCUGUACUUGGUGUUACUGCGAAGGGGGACGGAGAAGGCUAUGUUGGCCGGGCGACGGUUGUCCCGGUUUAAGCGUGUAGGCUGGUUUUCCAGGCAAAUCCGGAAAAUCAAGGCUGAGGCGUGAUGACGAGGCACUACGGUGCUGAAGCAACAAAUGCCCUGCUUCCAGGAAAAGCCUCUAAGCAUCAGGUAACAUCAAAUCGUACCCCAAACCGACACAGGUGGUCAGGUAGAGAAUACCAAGGCGCUUGAGAGAACUCGGGUGAAGGAACUAGGCAAAAUGGUGCCGUAACUUCGGGAGAAGGCACGCUGAUAUGUAGGUGAAGUCCCUCGCGGAUGGAGCUGAAAUCAGUCGAAGAUACCAGCUGGCUGCAACUGUUUAUUAAAAACACAGCACUGUGCAAACACGAAAGUGGACGUAUACGGUGUGACGCCUGCCCGGUGCCGGAAGGUUAAUUGAUGGGGUUAGCGCAAGCGAAGCUCUUGAUCGAAGCCCCGGUAAACGGCGGCCGUAACUAUAACGGUCCUAAGGUAGCGAAAUUCCUUGUCGGGUAAGUUCCGACCUGCACGAAUGGCGUAAUGAUGGCCAGGCUGUCUCCACCCGAGACUCAGUGAAAUUGAACUCGCUGUGAAGAUGCAGUGUACCCGCGGCAAGACGGAAAGACCCCGUGAACCUUUACUAUAGCUUGACACUGAACAUUGAGCCUUGAUGUGUAGGAUAGGUGGGAGGCUUUGAAGUGUGGACGCCAGUCUGCAUGGAGCCGACCUUGAAAUACCACCCUUUAAUGUUUGAUGUUCUAACGUUGACCCGUAAUCCGGGUUGCGGACAGUGUCUGGUGGGUAGUUUGACUGGGGCGGUCUCCUCCUAAAGAGUAACGGAGGAGCACGAAGGUUGGCUAAUCCUGGUCGGACAUCAGGAGGUUAGUGCAAUGGCAUAAGCCAGCUUGACUGCGAGCGUGACGGCGCGAGCAGGUGCGAAAGCAGGUCAUAGUGAUCCGGUGGUUCUGAAUGGAAGGGCCAUCGCUCAACGGAUAAAAGGUACUCCGGGGAUAACAGGCUGAUACCGCCCAAGAGUUCAUAUCGACGGCGGUGUUUGGCACCUCGAUGUCGGCUCAUCACAUCCUGGGGCUGAAGUAGGUCCCAAGGGUAUGGCUGUUCGCCAUUUAAAGUGGUACGCGAGCUGGGUUUAGAACGUCGUGAGACAGUUCGGUCCCUAUCUGCCGUGGGCGCUGGAGAACUGAGGGGGGCUGCUCCUAGUACGAGAGGACCGGAGUGGACGCAUCACUGGUGUUCGGGUUGUCAUGCCAAUGGCACUGCCCGGUAGCUAAAUGCGGAAGAGAUAAGUGCUGAAAGCAUCUAAGCACGAAACUUGCCCCGAGAUGAGUUCUCCCUGACUCCUUGAGAGUCCUGAAGGAACGUUGAAGACGACGACGUUGAUAGGCCGGGUGUGUAAGCGCAGCGAUGCGUUGAGCUAACCGGUACUAAUGAACCGUGAGGCUUAACCUUACAACGCCGAAGCUGUU
rnacentral:rRNA from 1 species